UGUGUUUUUUUGCUUGGACAGAAUUUACAUAAUAUAUUUUCUUAAAUGGCUCUUCAUUUGUUUAUCAUUCAAUUAACUUCUCUAGCCAUCUUAAAUAGCAUGUCGAAAGGACUUGCUCAUCAACCUUUUGAAGUAGUAUGGCUACCAACAUCAAAAGUCUCUAUUUUACCUUUGCAAUUAUAUGCAUUGCCAUGAUUGUAGUUUCAAGUUCAGAAGGAGGAACUAACAAGAAUGAUGAAGUAUUUUGCACUAACUGGUGGGGCUGUCCUGAUGACAAACACAAGUGUUUCUUCUUAUGUUCAAACUUUGGAUAUGAAUUACAUGGAAAAUGUCAUGAAAAUACUUGUUGUUGCGAUGGUGAAGCUAGCUGAAUGAUAGAUAAUAUUUUUACAAUAUGUUCUUAAUAGUGUCUCUAUGAAUACACUCUUUAGGACUACGUUAAAGCCAAGUUAUAACUUGUCUCGUCCCAUAUUAUAAGUUGCAACUAUCAUAUAUAUGCCUUCACACUUUCAAUGCGACAAUAGUAAUUAUUUUUCUAUUAUAAAUUCAAUAGUAAUAUAGGAAACUAUUUUUCUAUUAUAAAUUCAAUAGUAAUAUAGCAAAUAAUUUUAUGUCUUGGAUGAGUUCAGUGGCGGAUCCAGAAACUUUUGUUGGUGGGGGCAAAAAAUAGUGCAAGUAUUUUGACUAAAAAAGAUAUUACAAAUUUUAAAAUAAUUAUAUAAAACUACAACAUUUGUUGUCUCUAGCAACACUUUUUUAAGUAACAUUUAAAAAUUGUUGCCUAAAAUUCAUGUAGGCAACGAUUUAUGAUUGUUGCCAAAAAUAUAUUUGCAACCAUUGAUAAUUGUUGCCUAAAAUACGUUUGGGGACGUUUUUGGAGCGUUAUUAUAGUAUUUCUUUAUUAAUGUUUGAUAAUUGUCCCCUUAAAUACUUUGGGGACGAUUUUGGAAUGUCAUUAGACAAUUUCUUUAGCAAUGUUUAAUAAUUGUCCCCUUAAAUAUUUUUGGGGUCAUUUUUAGAGUGUUAUCUUAUUUUUAAUUAAAGGCUACAUCUCUUCAAGUUACAAAAAAAAAAUUUCAACAUCAAAUUUUUGGUGGCAAUCUUCCCUCCAAACUUAUAAACUAAAAAAACAAAAAAUUUCCUUGAAACAUUAUUAGAAAAAAUUUAAAUAUAAAAAUGCAUCUAACAGAUAAUAUACUAAUAUAAAAAAUCAUCUUAAACAUUAUAGAAAUAAUUUUUUAUUCAUUAAACUUUUCAGUAUCAUCACCAAAACCAUACGUGUACCCUUUUCAUAUUGUACGUCAAAAAAAACCUAUAUCGAAGAAUAUGCUCCUCAAAAACCUUUCACCUUCAUGAAACUCGUUCCGCAAGUCUUCAAGUCGCACCUCAAAUCUAAUGCUUUCCAUAAUUCUUCAAAUUGAACCAGAAUCCCAAAUCAAACCAAAAUCCCAAUUGCAUCGUAAUUCUUCAAAUCGCUCAUUAAAUCCGUCUUAAAUCGAAACCACAAUCCCAAUCGUUCCUCAAACCCUAAAUCACUACCUUAAAUCCCAAUCUCACAGAGUGCUCAAUCCCUAGAAGAGUUUCUUGUUGCCCAUCUUCCUCAAUCCCAAUCUCAUUCUGUUUUGGUUCAAGUGUCUAUGCUGAUAUGGUGAAUAGAAGCAGAGAGUGAAGCCCCAGUUACAACUGUGAACUUUCAAGAAAAAGUAGUCGAUUCGAAAGGUUAGAUUUUUUAUCAUUUUCUGAAUGUUUCUUAUAUUCUGGUUAAUUUCAUGCGUUUGGGUUCCGGUUUGUCGUCGACAACCAAAGUAAAACCCUUGUAAGCUCUUUGUCUCUCCCAAUGACCAUGCCGAGUUAGCAAGUAUUACCGUUGAGGUCGAGAGUUUCAGAAUUUGUUAUUGUUCAUCAAUAAAACCAAAUUUGUUAUUAUUCAUCAAUAAAACCAAAUUUGUUAUUGUUCAUCAAUAAAACCAAAUUUCUUUUUUGUUUGAAGCAUCGUCAUUUAUCGUGACCCUGUUUUGUAGUUUUCGCCGUUGAAAACAGCCGACACCAAUGGAGUUCCUAGGUUGUCUAAAAAACUAAUGUAGAAUGGAGAACUUGGAUCAACAACAAGGAUUUGUUUGUCUUUGUCAUAAGUAUUACGUUUCUUUUUCUUCAGAAUUUCUUCCUCUAGGUUGAAACUAUCCCGCUCAGAUAUUAUUAUUAUUAUUAUUAUUAUUAUUAUUGGGUAAUUGUCAUCAUUAAGACCUUAAACAUCAUAUUUUACAUAACCUAAACUGUCAGAACUAAAGAAGGAGUUUCAUUACCAUAAAUAAUCUACAGUACCAAUAAACUUUGCGUGAUAGGAAGUUGCCAAGGGCUCCCCAUUGAAUCCCCUGGUACUAGCUGAACCCUGAAAAAGGUUUCACUACAAGAAAUAUGAUAUUUACACUACAACACGGAAGGGCUUUCACAGCGCUUUUUUUGGCCUUUAACAGCGCUUUAAAGCGCUGCCAAAGCCAGCGCUGGCGUAGGCUACGAAAGCGCUUUUAAAAGCGCUCUGGUAGACCCCCCCUUUAAGAGCGCUUUCCUGGAAAAAGCGCUCUGGUAGGACCCCCUAUAAGAGCGCUUUCCUGGAAAAAGCGCUCUGGUAGACCCCCCUUUAAGAGCGCUUCUUAGUAAAAGCGCUGGCAAA